CGGCAUGCCUAACACAUGCAAGUCGAGCGGGGACUUCGGUCCUAGCGGCGGACGGGUGAGUAACGCGUGGGAACGUGCCCUUUGCUUCGGAAUAGCCCCUGGAAACGGGGAGUAAUACCGGAUGUGCCCUUUGGGGGGAAAGAUUUAUCGGCAAAGGAUCGGCCCGCGUUGGAUUAGGUAGUUGGUGGGGUAAUGGCCUACCAAGCCGACGAUCCAUAGCUGGUUUGAGAGGAUGAUCAGCCACACUGGGACUGAGACACGGCCCAGACUCCUACGGGAGGCAGCAGUGGGGAAUCUUAGACAAUGGGCGCAAGCCUGAUCUAGCCAUGCCGCGUGAGCGAUGAAGGCCUUAGGGUUGUAAAGCUCUUUCGUGGGGGAAGAUAAUGACGGUACCCCAAGAAGAAGCCCCGGCUAACUCCGUG
rnacentral:rRNA from 1 species